rnacentral:rRNA from 1 species
GAUGAACGCUGGCGGCGUGCCUAAUACAUGCAAGUCGAGCGAACAGACGAGGAGCUUGCUCCUCUGACGUUAGCGGCGGACGGGUGAGUAACACGUGUAUAACCUACCUAUAAGACUGGGAUAACUUCGGGACACCGGAGCUAAUACCGGAUAAUAUAUUGAACCGCAUGGUUCAAUAGUGAAAGACGGUUUUGCUGUCACUUAUAGAUGGAUCCGCGCCGCAUUAGCUAGUUGGUAAGGUAACGGCUUACCAAGGCAACGAUGCGUAGCCGACCUGAGAGGGUGAUCGGCCACACUGGAACUGAGACACGGUCCAGACUCCUACGGGAGGCAGCAGUAGGGAAUCUUCCGCAGUGGGCGAAAGCCUGACGGAGCAACGCCGCGUGAGUGAUGAAGGUCUUCGGAUCGUAAAACUCUGUUAUUAGGGAAGAACAAAUGUGUAAGUAACUAUGCACGUCUUGACGGUACCUAAUCAGAAAGCCACGGCUAACUACGUG